GACGAACCGGGCGAACGUUGUUCGGAAUCACUGGGCUUAAAGGGCGCGUAGGCGGGCGAUCAAGUCUGGGGUGAAAUCUUUCGGCUCAACCGGAAAACUGCCUUGGAUACUGAUCGUCUUGAGGGAGGUAGGGGCAGGUGGAACUUCCGGUGGAGCGGUGAAAUGCGUUGAUAUCGGAAGGAACGCCGGUGGCGAAAGCGACCUGCUGGAUCUCUUCUGACGCUGAUGCGCGAAAGCUAGGGUAGCGAACAGG
rnacentral:rRNA from 1 species